rnacentral:tRNA from 1 species
GGAUUGUGGCUUAGCGGUAGAGCACUUGCCUAGCACAUGGGAGGCUUUGGGUUCCAUUCUCAGCACCA